AACCUAGCACACCUGCGGUGUGUACCUGCGGAGGGAUCAUUAACCUUUCAAAUCAGGGUGCGGCGCGGCCCCCGAGGAGCGGAAACAAUCCUUGGGAGGUAUGCGGGGGCUUCGAGCCCCCCAUUUACGCGCGCACGACUGCCAUCCUUACUUUACGAGCACCUUCUGUUCUCCCUCGGCGGGGCAACCUGCCGUUGGAACCGAAUAAACUCUUUUUGCAUUUAGCAUUACCUGUUCCGA
rnacentral:misc_RNA from 1 species